rnacentral:misc_RNA from 1 species
GAUGAAGAACCGCAGCGAAAUGCGAUAAGUAAUGAGAAUUGCAGAAUUCAGUGAGUCAUCGAAUCUUUGAACGCACAUUGCGCCCUGUGGUAUUCCGCAGGGCAUGCCUGUUCGAGCGUCAUUUCAACCCUCAAGCCCCGCUUGGUGUUGGGCCCCGCCCGCUGUGGCCGGCCCUAAAGACAGUGGCGGCGCCGCCUGGCCCUCAGCGUAGUACAUCUCUCGCUCCAGGGUCCGGUGGCCGCCUGCCAGAACCCCCCAACUCUGUGGUUGACCUCGGAUCAGGUAGGGAUACCCGCUGAACUUAAGCAUAUCAAUAAGCGGAGGA